rnacentral:tRNA from 1 species
AUGUGGCGCAAUGGGUCAGUGCAUCUGGCUGUUAACCAGGUUGGUGGUUCAAGCCCAUCCAGGGAUG